UACGGAGGGUGCAAGCGUUGUCCGGAAUCACUGGGCGUAAAGCGCGUGUAGGCGGCUCGAUAAGUCUGCUGUGAAAGUUCAGGGCUCAACCCUGAAAUGCCGGUGGAAACUGUCGAGCUAGAGUCCGGAAGAGGCGAGUGGAAUUCCUGGUGUAGCGGUGGAAUGCGCAGAUAUCAGGAGGAACACCGGUGGCGAAGGCGGGUCUCUGGGCAGUAACUGACGCUGAGGAGCGAAAACGUGGGGAGCGAACAGG
rnacentral:rRNA from 1 species